AAUCAACGCUGGUGGCGUGCCUAACACAUGCAAGUCGAACGCGAAAGCCCCGCAAGGGGCGAAGUAGAGUGGCAAACGGGUGAGUAACACGUGGGUGACCUGCCUUCGAGCGGGGGAGUAACGUCCCGAAAGGGACGCUAAUACCGCAUAACAUCCUGCCUUUGAAGAGGUGGAGAUCAAAGCUGGGGAUCGCAAGACCCGGCACUUGAAGAGGGGCCCGCGCCUGAUUAGCUAGUUGGUGGGGAAUGGCCUACCAAGGC
rnacentral:rRNA from 1 species